rnacentral:tRNA from 1 species
ACCGGAUAGCUCGAAUGGUAAAGUAGCCGACAUGUUUUCGGAAGGUUCUAGGUUCGAAUCCCAGUCCAAGCU